GACGAACGCUGGCGGCGUGCUUAACACAUGCAAGUCGAACGGAAAGGCCCUGCUUUUGUGGGGUGCUCGAGUGGCGAACGGGUGAGUAACACGUGAGUAACCUGCCCUUGACUUUGGGAUAACUUCAGGAAACUGGGGCUAAUACCGGAUAGGAGCUCCUGCUGCAUGGUGGGGGUUGGAAAGUUUCGGCGGUUGGGGAUGGACUCGCGGCUUAUCAGCUUGUUGGUGGGGUAGUGGCUUACCAAGGCUUUGACGGGUAGCCGGCCUGGGGGGGUGACCGGCACAUUGGGACUGAGAUACGGCCCAGACUCCUACGGGAGGCAGCAGUGGGGAAUAUUGCACAAUGGGCGGAAGCCUGAUGCAGCAACGCCGCGUGCGGGAUGACGGCCUUCGGGUUGUAAACCGCUUUCGCCUGUGACGAAGCGUGAGUGACGGUAAUGGGUAAAGAAGCACCGGCUAACUACGUG
rnacentral:rRNA from 1 species